GAUGAACGCUAGCUACAGGCUUAACACAUGCAAGUCGAGGGGAAACGGCAUUAAGUGCUUGCACUUUUUGGACGUCGACCGGCGCACGGGUGAGUAACGCGUAUCCAACCUUCCCAUGACUAAGGGAUAACCUGCCGAAAGGCAGACUAAUACCUUAUGGUCUUCACUGACGGCAUCAGAUGUGAAGUAAAGAUUUAUCGGUUAUGGAUGGGGAUGCGUCUGAUUAGCUUGUUGGCGGGGUAACGGCCCACCAAGGCAACGAUCAGUAGGGGUUCUGAGAGGAAGGUCCCCCACAUUGGAACUGAGACACGGUCCAAACUCCUACGGGAGGCAGCAGUGAGGAAUAUUGGUCAAUGGGCGAGAGCCUGAACCAGCCAAGUAGCGUGCAGGAUGACGGCCCUAUGGGUUGUAAACUGCUUUUGUAUGGGGACAAAGUCAAUCACGUGUGAUUGUUUGCAGGUACCAUACGAAUAAGGACCGGCUAAUUCCGUGCCAGCAGCCGCGGUAAUACGGAAGGUCCGGGCGUUAUCCGGAUUUAUUGGGUUUAAAGGGAGCGUAGGCUGGAGAUUAAGUGUGUUGUGAAAUGUAGACGCUCAACGUCUGACUUGCAGCGCAUACUGGUUUCCUUGAGUACGCACAACGUUGGCGGAAUUCGUCGUGUAGCGGUGAAAUGCUUAGAUAUGACGAAGAACUCCGAUUGCGAAGGCAGCUGACGGGAGCGCAACUGACGCUGAAGCUCGAAGGUGCGGGUAUCGAACAGG
rnacentral:rRNA from 1 species